ACGGAGGGUGCGAGCGUUGUCCGGAAUCACUGGGCGUAAAGGGCGCGUAGGUGGCCGAGCAAGGUUGCGGUGAAAGCCCGGGGCUCAACCCCGGGUCGGCCGUGGCAACUACUCGGCUUGAGCACUGUAGGGGCGGGUGGAAUUCCGGGUGUGGCGGUGGAAUGCGUAGAGAUCCGGAAGAACACCGGUGGCGAAGGCGGCCCGCUGGGCAGGAAGGCUCGCAAGAGCCGGCUGACACUGAGGCGCGACAGCGUGGGGAGCAAACAGGA
rnacentral:rRNA from 1 species